rnacentral:piRNA from 1 species
UGAGAUGGUCCUCCCUUGACACUUGUCUU